ensembl:miRNA
AUGUAUUAGGUUGGUGCAAAAGUAAUUGCGGUUUUUGCCAUUGACAGCAAUGGCAAAAACCGCAAUUACUUUUGCACCAAUCUAAUACAAUUAUUACUUGUC